rnacentral:lncRNA from 1 species
UGGUCUCCAGAUCAGAUCUGGACCGUCCCUUUCCAUUUCCAGAUCAGAUCUAGACAGUUCAUUGUUAUGACUUUUUAUUAUACCGCGUGUGGGUGCAUUGACUUGGAUGUAUUGUGGAAACGCGCUGAGGGCCAUGUGAUGUGCCAACUCAAUUAAUGAGCCAUCAUCCAACGCCUCUCCUUUUUUCUAAUUUUCAUUUUCUGAUUUCUAUUUUCUUUUAUUUCUUUUAAU